rnacentral:misc_RNA from 1 species
CAGCUACUUUCCUCUGUGGUUCCUGAUACCAGGAAUUUAGAUGUAGAUGGUGAAGAUCGAAGGUUGCUUGUCAUCCCAAACCGGAACAAGGAUGACUCUACCAGAGGUCAAUAUGAAAGUUUUAACUUAGCUCUGUGGAAGCUGAGGGAUCAGGUUCUAUCCAUGAAUGGUGCAUCGUUUUCCAGAACUGUUUCGGAACGCGAUUGGUUAAAAAACUCCGUGAAG